rnacentral:rRNA from 1 species
CAAUAGCGUAUAUUAAAGUUGUUGCAGUUAAAAAGCUCGUAGUUGGAUUUCGGGGCAGCCUGGCUGGUCCGCCGCAAGGCGAGUACUGGUCAGCCGCCCUUCCUCUCGAAAGCCCCGACUGCUCUUUAUUGCAGUGGUCGGGUAGUUCGGGACGUUUACUUUGAAAAAAUUAGAGUGUUCAAGGCAGGCCUACGCCUGAAUACAUUAGCAUGGAAUAAUGGAAGAGGACCUCGGUCCUAUUUUGUUGGUUUCCAGGACCGAAGUAAUGAUUAAGAGGGACAGUUGGGGGCAUUCGUAUUUAAUUGUCAGAGGUGAAAUUCUCGGAUUUAUGAAAGACGAACAACUGCGAGAGCAUUUGCCAAGGAUGUUUUCAUUAA